rnacentral:rRNA from 1 species
GAUGAACGCUGACAGAAUGCUUAACACAUGCAAGUCAUUGGCGAAGCUGCGCUUGCGCAGUCUAGCCAAGGCGGACGGGUGAGUAACGCGUAAGGAACUUGCCCUGCAGACAGGGAUAACAGACGGAAACGACUGAUAACACCUGGUAUUGUCAGGCUGGCGCAUGCCGGCCUGAUGAAAGGAGACGCUGCAGGAGAGCCUUGCGUCCUAUUAGCUAGUUGGUGGGGUAACGGCCCACCAAGGCGAUGAUAGGUAGCCGGCCUGAGAGGGUGAACGGCCACAAGGGGACUGAGAUACGGCCCUUACUGCUACGGGAGGCAGCAGUGGGGAAUAUUGGACAAUGGGGGCAACCCUGAUCCAGCAAUUCUGUGUGCACGAAGAAGGUUUUCGGAUUGUAAAGUGCUUUCAGCAGGGAAGAAGAAAGUGACGGUACCUGCAGAAGAAGCGACGGCUAAAUACGUG